GGUGGCUCAGUGGUAGAGCACUUGCUUUGCAUGCAUGAAGCCCUGGGUUCGAUUCCUCAGCACCA
rfam:Dipodomys ordii contig_68368, whole genome shotgun sequence.